GACGGAGGGUGCAAGCGUUGUUCGGAAUCACUGGGCGUAAAGCGCGUGUAGGCGGUCCGGUAAGUCGGGUGUGAAAUCCCGAGGCUUAACCUCGGAAGUGCACUCGAAACUGUCGGGCUUGAGUACGGGAGAGGGAAGUGGAAUUCCUGGUGUAGAGGUGAAAUUCGUAGAUAUCAGGAGGAACACCGGUGGCGAAGGCGGCUUCCUGGACCGAUACUGACGCUGAGACGCGAAAGCGUGGGGAGCAAACAGGAUUAGAUACCCUGGUAGUCCACGCCGUAAACGGUGAGCACUAGGUGUAGCGGGUAUUGACCCCUGCUGUGCCGCAGCUAACGCAUUAAGUGCUCCGCCUGGGGAGUACGGUCGCAAGAUUAAA
rnacentral:rRNA from 1 species